GACGAACGCUGGCGGCGUGCUUAACACAUGCAAGUCGAACGGACAGGCCCUGCUUUUGUGGGGUGCUCGAGUGGCGAACGGGUGAGUAACACGUGAGUAACCUGCCCUUGUCUUUGGGAUAACUUCAGGAAACUGGGGCUAAUACCGGAUAGGAGCUCCUGCUGCAUGGUGGGGGUUGGAAAGUUUCGGCGGUUGUGGAUGGACUCGAGGCUUAUCCGCUUGUUGGUGGAGUAGUGGCUUACCAAGUCUUUGACGGGUAGGCGGCCUGAGAGGGUGACCGGCCACAUUGGGACUGAGAGACGGCCCAGACUCCUACGGGAGGCAGCAGUGGGGAAUAUUGCACAAUGGGCGGAAGCCUGAUGCAGCAACGCCGCGUGCGGGAUGACGGCCUUCGGGUUGUAAACCGCUUUCGCCUGUGACGAAGCGUGAGUGACGGUAAUGGGUAAAGAAGCACCGGCUAACUACGUG
rnacentral:rRNA from 1 species